UGAGGAAUUAUGCACAAUGGAGGAAACUCUGAUGCUGCAACGCCGCGUGUGGGAUGAAGGGGCUAUGCCCUGUAAACCACUGUCAGCAAGGAAAAAAAGUCUGCACGGCGGACUGGGAUUGUACUUGCAGAGGAAGGGUCGGCUAACUACGUGCCAGCAGCCGCGGUAAUACGUAGGACCCAAGCGUUGUCCGGAAUUACUGGGUGUAAAGGGUGCGCAGGCGGGCUUGUGCGUCGAGGGUUAAAGACCUCAGCUUAACUGAGGGAGUGCCCUCGAUACGGCAAGUCUUGAGUGUGAGAGAGGAAAGUGGAAUUCUUGGUGUAGCAGUGAAAUGCGUAGAUAUCAAGAGGAACACCGGUGGCGAAGGCGGCUUUCUGGCUCACAACUGACGCUCAGGCAC
rnacentral:rRNA from 1 species